rnacentral:lncRNA from 1 species
AGACCAUAACAUUAGGGCACACAGUCCCUGGCAGGUAUCUGUGUGCUUUCAGAGACUGGAGGAAAAGCAUGUAAAAUCAGGAGAGUUCUGGAAGCUCUGGUUCCACAGUAGCCACCGGGGAAUGGAUUUAGAACAAAAGCCCCACUAAGGCCCUGCACUCCCGAGGAUGCAGUGUUUUGACAUAACCACUUACCUCCAAAAGAGGGAGGUGGAACAGCCCUGGCUGAAGAGGACAUUCCAGACUCUGAAGAAAGUGCUGCAAUCUUCCAGAUGCUGCGGCUGACCGUGCGGAACCACAUGCGUGCUUGGUUCCUUGUAUAAAGCAGCCCUCGCUUGAGGUCUCCAUGAAGCGCUUCUUUGUGAGACUCUUAAACGUUCUUUUUCUGGUCCACAUGACACGGGGCCAGAGUGUUAGGACUUUGUGUCUUAAGUACCACUUGAAAUCCACACGAGGCUUUGAAUAAGCCUUGGAUAAAGGGCUGCUCUGUAAUCUUACCAUUAAUGCCAGUAGGCAAGGGUCAGCCUUCUGCCCAGCAGCCUUCAACGGCUCCCCACUGUCUCCAUGGUAAGGAUCAAACUUCUAAGCUGGCAGUCGGUCAGGGCCUUCCUCAUAGAAGUCUGGCCUCUGCUGUUCUCCUGCCUCACAUCACAGCCCUGACCCAAUGACCCGCUGUGGGUGUUUGUCCAACCACUGGUGGCAAGCAUUCUGGCCCCUCAUGCUUUCCUGGAUGCCGGGAAUAUCUCCCUCUUCCUCUCUUCUACUUGGCUCAGCCCUGCUGUCUUCCUGUUUCUUUCCUUAAGCAUUUCCCUGCCCCAACCUGCGGGCUCUGCCUGGGACUCUGGUAACAUUCACUGGGGCCUUCUGCUGAAGAGAACCUUAGUCCUGGUGGAAGGAUUUUCAGCUUCUCUGUUGAGCAUGACUGCACUUCAGAUUCUUAAAUGGAGCUGUAGAGAGAUGACAGUGAUCAGUUUAAAAC